rnacentral:rRNA from 1 species
GACGAACGCUGGCGGCGUGCCUAACACAUGCAAGUCGAACGAGAAUCUUUGGAAUGAUUCUUUCGGGAUGAAUUCCAAAGAGGAAAGUGGCGGACGGGCGAGUAACGCGUGAGUAACCUGCCCAUAAGAGGGGGAUAAUCCAUGGAAACGUGGACUAAUACCGCAUAUUGUAAUUAAGUUGCAUGACUUGAUUAUGAAAGAUUUAUCGCUUAUGGAUGGACUCGCGUCAGAUUAGAUAGUUGGUGAGGUAACGGCUCACCAAGUCAACGAUCUGUAGCCGAACUGAGAGGUUGAUCGGCCGCAUUGGGACUGAGACACGGCCCAGACUCCUACGGGAGGCAGCAGUGGGGAAUAUUGCGCAAUGGGGGCAACCCUGACGCAGCAACGCCGCGUGCAGGAAGAAGGUCUUCGGAUUGUAAACUGUUGUCGCAAGGGAAGAAGACAGUGACG